rnacentral:lncRNA from 1 species
AAGACGCUCUUCCUUCCUCCAGCUUAUGAGAAGACAGACUUCUUCUCAACCAAAUCAUGCCAUUUCUCAAGAGGUUCUGCCGUCCUCAUCCUCCCGGAGUCCCACCCUCCCAGGAGAGAAACAGUGGAGAAUGGAUAUUCAUAAGACGAGACCACCCUUGUUCACUUGGAAACAGCUGGGCCACCAAGACAGAACCCAUACAUAGCUUGAGGCAGCUGCCCACGUCUGUGAUCUUAGCGCCCCCUACCGGGAGACGGAAGGCAAAGGCAUGAAGACGUUCAUGGGCCUCUCGGCUUAGCCUACGAAGCAGGGAGCAUGAAGACUUCAUUUCAAAGGAGGUAACAAGCAAGAACUGACACCCAAGAUUGUCCUCUGACCACAUCGAUGUGUCUACGCAGCUCGCACAACGGCAGGUGCGCCCAUGCGAGCACGCAAACAAACGCAUAAGACUUUAAAAAAAAACUUUUUGAAUGAUAGAUUAUACACACUCACCCAACUUACUAAUACAGAAGCAGUUUUAUCUGGAUUUAGCUUGGGAAAGUCUGGCUAAAAUCAGGUGUACCACAACCCCAUCCCCUUUACUAGUCUGCUUGUGGUCUAAUCCUAUAGUCCUUAUUUUCUAAGGGGGGGGGGUCUCAGGUUAAUCUAGUUUCAUUGUUUUCCAAUGAAAUUCUGUGGCAUCCUGGAAAACACACGUAUUUACUAUAAUGUUCUUCAAGGUUCAUUACACAAAUAAACUCGAGGGUGAGAAG